GGCCUGAGAAACGGCUACCACAUCCAAGGAAGGCAGCAGGCGCGCAAAUUACCCACUCUCGGCACGGGGAGGUAGUGACGAAAAAUAACAAUACGGGACUCUAACGAGGCUCCGUAAUUGGAAUGAGAACAUUCUAAACCUUUUAACGAGGAUCUAUUGGAGAGCAAGUCUGGUGCCAGCAGUCGCGGUAACCCCAGCUCCAAUGGCGUAUAUUAUAGCUGUUGCGGUUAAAAAGCUCGUAGUUGGAUCUCAGUCGCCGCUUCCGUCGACGCGUCGAAAGGCGUCUAUCGUCGGGGCCGACAACCGCUGGUGGGCUCGGUUGGCCUUCAAAAGCUGAUCUUGCACUCCGGCAACGUUACUGUGAAAAAAUUAGGGUGCUCAAAGCGGGCUCGCGCCUGCAUAUACGUGCAUGGAAUAAUGGAAUAGGAUCUCGGUUCUAUUUUGUUGGUUUCUGGACCCGAGAUAAUGAUUGAGAGGGACAGACGGGGGCAUUCGUAUUGCGGCGCUAGAGGUGAAAUUCUUGGACCGCUGCAAGACGAACUACUGCGAAAGCAUUUGCCAAGAAUGUUUUCAUUAAUCAAGAACGAAAGUUAGAGGUUCGAAGGCGAUCAGAUACCGCCCUAGUUCUAACCAUAAACGAUGCCAACCAGCGAUCCGCCCGAGUUCCCUAAACGACUCGGCGGGCAGCUUCCGGGAAACCAAAGUCUUUGGGUUCCGGGGGAAGUAUGGUUGCAAAGCUGAAACUUAAAGGAAUUGACGGAAGGGCACCACCAGGAGUGGAGCCUGCGGCUUAAUUUGACUCAACACGGGGAAACUUACCCGGCCCGGACACCGGAAGGAUUGACAGAUUGAUAGCUCUUUCUUGAUUCGGUGGAUGGUGGUGCAUGGCCGUUCUUAGUUGGUGGAGCGAUUUGUCUGGUUAAUUCCGAUAACGAACGAGACUCUAGCCUGCUAAAUAGACCCACGGUCCUUUGUUACCGUGAGCGGGUCUUCUUAGAGGGACAGGCGGCUCUCAGCCGUACGAGACAGAGCAAUAACAGGUCUGUGAUGCCCUUAGAUGUCCGGGGCCGCACGCGCGCUACACUGAAGGAAUCAGCGCGUGCUUAUCCUGGUCCGAAAGGUCCGGGUAACCGCCUGAAACUCCUUCGUGCUAGGGAUAGGGGAUUGGAAUUGUUCCCCUCGAACGAGGAAUUCCCAGUAAGCGCGAGUCAUCACCUCGCGUUGAUUACGUCCCUGCCCUUUGUGCACACCGCCCGUCGCUACUACUGAUUGAAUGAUUUAGUGAGGUCUUCGGACUGGCCCGGAUUCCGGCCUCGGCCGUCCCGGAUCGGGAAGACGAUCGAACUUGGUCAUUUAGAAGAAGUAAAAGUCGUAACAAGGUUUCC
rnacentral:rRNA from 1 species